GCUGCUUUCAAAAUCUUGAUUGUUUUCUGGGUUUUUUUUGUUUUCUAUACUUUCUACUUUUAAUAACUUGCUAAUGACAUAAUAACUGACAUUUAAACAGUUGGAAAGGGAAAUAGAGAGUACCUUAACCAAGAGAGAAUCAUAGCCAAGGAUGGAACUUCCCGGGAGUAAUUCUGAUUACCGCGAGAAGAGUUACUGGGACGAACGUUACACAACAGAAGAGACUUAUGAUUGUUUCACAGGAUACUUGUCAUUCCAAUAACUCCUGAGGAGAGACAUUCUGCCAUAGCAACAAAUACUUACUAUUGAAAAACACUUUUUUUGGUGCCAAUACGUGAGACAGGCCCUUUAACUCCAGACCUGAUUGAUACAGUCAUACUACAGGUGAACGAAAAAUGUGUGAUUUCCAUUCUUCCCAUGGGUUCGAGAUGUCCUGCUACCAUUGAGUAUGUCCAAAACAGGUGGAACACGUUUUGAAACCAGGUGCCGAGUUCAUAUCAAUAGCGUUUGCCCUGUCCCAUUUCCGGAGACCCCUAUACGCACGAAAACAUAUGGCUUUUGAUGUUAACAUGUCUACUAUCGGGGAGGCGUUCCACUUUUUAUAUGGGGUUGAAAAAAAGGAAACAACUCAGUGAGAAAGACAUAUUAGCGGAGGCGGAGAGGGAUAAGAAAAGAUUACUCAGGGAAAUAACUCUGAAAACCCGGUGACAUUUAUGGAAAAUGAUACCGAUGAUAAUGUUAUGUCAAUAUAAUUGUGAUAUUGCUUUGGUUUUAUUUUAACAUAACGGAUAUUGUUUUAAAAAAGCAAUAAAAAUAAAAUAUUUAACUUCA